rnacentral:rRNA from 1 species
GUCUGUAUGAAGUUAUAUAGAGUCUGACCUGCCCGUUGAAUAAAUUUGAAAGGCCGCGGUAUAUUAACUGUGCAAAGGUAGCAUAAUCAUUAGUUUUUUAAUUGAAGGCUUGUAUGAAGGGUCUGACAAAGAAAAAGCUGUCUUUAAUUUUAUUUUUGAAUUUAACUUUUAAGUGAAAAGGCUUAAAUAAUUUUAAGGGACGAUAAGACCCUAUAAAUCUUUAUAUUAAAUUAUUAUCUUGAAUUUUAAUAAUUUGUCUAGAGUUUGUCAAGUAAAAUAAUAAAUAUUUUGUUGGGGUGACAAGAAUAUAAAAAUAACUGUUCUUUAAGAAAACAAAGUUGUUUGUAAUAAAAUUUUGUAGAUCCUUUUUGAAGAUUAAAAGUUUAAGUUACUUUAGGGAUAACAGCGUUAUUUUUUUUGAGAGUUCCUAUCGAAAAAAAAGUUUGCGACCUCGAUGUUGAAUUAAAAAUUCUUUACGGUGUAGAAGUUGUAUGAGAGAGUCUGUUCGACUUUUAAAAUUUU